CAUAGCUCUUUGUUUGAAUAAAGAGUAGUACCUGCUCAGUGAUUAAUUUAACAGCCGCAGUAAUUUGACUGUGCUAAGGUAGCGUAAUCAUUUGUUUUUUAAUUGGAAACUUGUAUGAAUGGUUUGACGAAAAAAUAAUUGUUUCUUAUAUUGUUUUUGAAUUUUACAUUUAAGUAAAAAGGCUUAAAUUUUUUUAAGGGACGAAAAGACCCUAUUAAGUUUUAUAAAAAUUCUUCUUUAUUUUUCUUUAUAAUAUUACUUUUUAUUUGUCUGGGGAGGUUAAAAUAGAAUAUCUUUUUUAUAUUUAUUAAUUUAUAAUUUUUAUUUUGAUCUAUUUUUUGUAAUUAUUUAAUUAAAUUGCUAUAGGGAUAACAGCAUAAUUUAUUUGGAAAGUUCAUAUUUAUAAAUAAGAUUGUGACCUCGAUGUUGGGUUAAAUUUACUUUUUAAUGAAGUAGUUAUUAAAGUAAGUCUGUUCGACUUUUAAAUUUUUACGUGAUC
rnacentral:rRNA from 1 species